UACGCUAUGUUGGACUUAG
rnacentral:snRNA from 1 species